CACAGCACCACUUCCGGUCAUAAUUUUAAAUAUUAAAAUAAAUGUUGAGUCAGAGCUUAAAGGACACACAGCAGAGCUGAGAAAGGUCACGUGGCUUGUCCUC